GAAGUCAGGUUAGGAACUCAAGCAGG
rnacentral:piRNA from 1 species